CUUGCUUCUCUGAUGUUAGCGGCGGACGGGUGAGUAACACGUGGAUAACCUACCUAUAAGACUGGGAUAACUUCGGGAAACCGGAGCUAAUACCGGAUAAUAUUUUGAACCGCAUGGUUCAAAAGUGAAAGACGGUCUUGCUGUCACUUAUAGAUGGAUCCGCGCUGCAUUAGCUAGUUGGUAAGGUAACGGCUUACCAAGGCAACGAUGCAUAGCCGACCUGAGAGGGUGAUCGGCCACACUGGAACUGAGACACGGUCCAGACUCCUACGGGAGGCAGCAGUAGGGAAUCUUCCGCAAUGGGCGAAAGCCUGACGGAGCAACGCCGCGUGAGUGAUGAAGGUCUUCGGAUCGUAAAACUC
rnacentral:rRNA from 1 species